UGGGGAAUAUUGGACAAUGGGCGCAAGCCUGAUCCAGCCAUGCCGCGUGAGUGAUGAAGGCCCUAGGGUUGUAAAGCUCUUUCACCGGUGAAGAUAAUGACGGUAACCGGAGAAGAAGCCCCGGCCAACUUCGUGCCAGCAGCCGCGGUAAUACGAAGGGGGCUAGCGUUGUUCGGAAUUACUGGGCGUAAAGCGCACGUAGGCGGAUCGAUCGGUUAGGGGUGAAAUCCCGGGGCUCAACCCCGGAACUGCCUCUAAUACUGUCGAUCUGGAGUUCGAGAGAGGUGAGUGGAAUUCCGAGUGUAGAGGUGAAAUUCGUAGAUAUUCGGAGGAACACCAGUGGCGAAGGCGGCUCACUGGCUCGAUACUGACGCUGAGGUGCGAAAGCGUGGGGAGCAAACA
rnacentral:rRNA from 1 species